CAGUAGCCACGGUAAUACGGAGGGUGCAAGCGUUAAUCGGAAUUACUGGGCGUAAAGCGCACGCAGGCGGUCUGACAAGUCAGAUGUGAAAUCCCCGGGCUUAACCUGGGAACUGCAUUUGAAACUGUCAGGCUGGAGUCUUGUAGAGGGGGGUAGAAUUCCAGGUGUAGCGGUGAAAUGCGUAGAGAUCUGGAGGAAUACCGGUGGCGAAGGCGGCCCCCUGGACAAAGACUGACGCUCAGGUGCGAAAGCGUGGGGAGCAAACAGGAUUAGAUACCCCUGUAGUCCCUGUCUCUUAUAU
rnacentral:rRNA from 1 species